UGAGCUGGGCUGGUUUUGGGAUGGGGUAGGGGGAGGGGAGAUUUUGAAGCUUGUGAAGUCUGCAUUGAUACCAUUGGGCUGCAGGGUUCCCAAGCAGAAUGAGUUGCUGUUCCUGCAACCUUUGGGUACUACACCUGCUCCUACACCUACCUACUCCCUACUCCCCACCCCAUCCCAGGCCCCAAGAAGACUUUCCACAUCAAGCAGAUGUUCACCUGCACAUCUGCUAAUGUGGUCUACUGUAUCAGCUGUUCCUGUUGUGGCCUCCUCUACAUCAGGGAAACCAAGCGGAGAGUUGGGGACCGCUUUGCGGAACACCUUGGCUCGGUUCGCACUAUACAACUGCACCUCCCAGUUGCAAACCAUUUCAACUACCCCUCUCAUUCCUCAGAUGACGUCCAUCCUGGGCCUCCUGCAGUGCCACAGUGAUGCCACCCGAAGGUUGCAGGAACAGCAGCUCAUAUUUCACUCCUCUGAUGCUGCUUGGCCUGCUGUGUUCAACCAGCUCUACACCUUGUUAUCUCAGAGGCGAUGUGAGCACACUCACAGCAGCAGGGAAAGGCAAUGUGAGUAUGCUCAGAGCGGGGUGAAGGGGCAAUGAAGCAUGCUCAGAGCAGGGGGUGCUAGUCUGGUAGGGAGAAUUUGGGUAGCAUAGGAUUGGACUUGAAAUGUAAACUGCGCACAAAUGUUGUGUUUCUAGAGCGUGUACUAUUUUUAUUUCCAUGAUUUCACUGCCCUCCCCUCUACUGAAACUGUACUGUGUAACUGCAGUAAUAAAGUAACUUUAGAAUAUUAAACUGUGUGAAAUACAUAGUUACUGUACCCUGUGUUUGUGGUCACCUAGCCUCCACUCUGCAAAAUAGAGCUGUACGCAUGGUAACAGACCCUUCGACCCAACUUGUCCAUGCCCACUGGAUAUCCAAAUUAAUCUCGUCCCAUUUGCCAGCUUUUAGCCCCUAUCCUUCUAAACCCUUCCAAUUCAUCUACCCAUCCAGAUCCCCUUUGAACGCUGUAAUUGUACCAGCCUCCACGAAGUCCUCUGGCAGUUCAUUCCAUACACACACCAUGCUCUGCAUGAAAAAAUUUCCCCUCCGGUCCCUUCUAAACCUUUCACGUCUCACCUUAAACCAACGCACCAUAGGUCUGAACGCCCAUACCCUGGAUAAAAAGACCAAGGCUAUUCACCCUAUCCAUGCUUCUCAUGAUUUUAUAAAUCUCUGUAAAGUCAGCCCUCAGCCUCCAACAUUCCGGGGGGAAAAUAGCCCCAGCCAAUUCAGCCUCUCCCUACAGCUCAAGCUUGGCAAUGUCCUUGUAAAUCUUUUCUGCACUGUUUCAAGUUUCACAACAUCUACUGUAUACCAUGGAGACCAGAAUUGAACACAGUAUUCCAAAAAGACCAAUAGUGUCACAGAGAUAUACAACAUGGAAACAGACCCUUCAUUCCAACUUGUCGAUUCUGAUCAGGUAUACUGAAUAAAUCGAGUUCCAAUUGCUAGCAUUUGGUCCAUAUCCCUUUUAACAUCUCUUUGUCAUGUACUCGGAUGCCUUUUAAAUGUUGUAAUUGACUGAUUAAUUAUCAUGUGUACCAAAGUACAGUGAAAAGCUUUGUUUAUGAACAAUACAGGCAGACCAGAGUAAGCAAGAGUGUACAGAUUCCAGAAUUGAAUGCAGUAUUCCAAAAGUGGCAAAAUCCUACAUGUGUCUUCAGCAUGACAGCUUGAACCUCAGUUCAGCACACUUUUCAGCUGUUUUAUCAUCAGGACAGUGCUAGGAAUCUUGAUGGGUACUGGUGGGAAAGGGAAGACUAGGAGGCACAAACAAGGCUAGGCAGGAGAUGGGAACUACAAGUCCCAGCGUGCAUUGCAGCGACGCGCUGAAAGACACCCACACCAGCCAAUGAGGACCGGGACGCCUCCGACAUCUACCAAUAGGAAUGAGAAGAGGUGGGCCUGCAAGCCAGACGGGAAGAAUGGCGCCGGCGGAGAGGAACACAUGGCGAAGGGAGACUCAGUCUUUGUCACCGUCAGGUGGUGACAGCUUGCAUUGAGAUAGUGCCUUUGAAGGUUGUCUAGUCAACACAGGAUGCUGCAGGGAAGCAGUUUCGAGUCUUGAAGUGGGUGCUGUACGAUGAUUCCCUGUAGUUGGAAACUGCAACGCAAAAAGCUGAAUGAAGGCUGGAAUUAAAGCCAGUGGUCAGGAUUCUUGCGUCCAAUUCCAACCCGAAGCGGUCUGCCAGCGUGCGCACGCUCAUAUUGUGAUGCCUGUAGCUGUCCCCUGCCACCUGUCUAAAGUGCUACCAUAAGGAAAGAUGUCUAAACUCUCCCCUACGUGAUCUUGGCGUGUGGCCGUUUGAGCGGAGACUCGCAAGAUGUCCACCUCAGACUGUCAUUGCAGAGGAUGCAGCCGAGAGGUCUUCAAGAGGGCGACCAGAACUGGACACUGUGCUCCAGAAGAGGCCUCGCCAACAUCCCGUACAACCUCAACGCGACAUCCCAACUCCUACACCCAAAGACAAAGUCUUGGAAGAGAAAGAUGCUGCUGAGAGGUCUCACAGAGUUUCCGUUCUGGACAGAACGAACCCAAGUCACAUAUUGGAGGUUCAUGUUCUGUUCUAGCUGGUCACUAUUGGCUUUGACUUUCUGACCCCUGUGAGGAGGCACCCACUUCCUGCUAGACCUCCUCCACAGUAUCAUGGAGCUGGGCUUAGAAACUGGAUGGUGCAGAGAAAACAACGGCUUGCCACUUGGUCACUGAGUGUAACUGCCCCAGCACACCGCGGAUCAUCAAGGCAUUUGCUACUUUCCAGUCUGAUGGAAACUUAACUGAAUCUAGGGGAGUUUUGGAAAAUCACUAUCAACUACUUCAUGAGGCUUGUAAAAAAAACAUAAGACCAUAAGACAUAGGAGUGGAAGUAAGGCCAUUUGGCCCAUCAAGUCCACGCUGCCAUUUAAAUCAUGGCUGAUAGGCAUUUCAAUUCCACUUCCCUGCACUCUCCCCGUAGCCCUUGAUUCCUUCUGAGGUCAAGAAUUUGUCGAUCUCUGCCUUGAAGGCAUCCAAUGUCCCUGUGUCUCAUGCGGACAGAAUAAUUUUCUAUUCAGCGAUUUAAGCUACUUAAUACUGUGAUUUCAAUUCCGUUAAUGUGACUUUAUGCAACUGCACAUUGAAUCUGUUGGACAAACCUUAAAGGCAUUUCUGACGUCACGUUAUGGGUUUUACAACCUCAAACUUUAACUUGAUUUAACUGAUGUGGGGGCAGGGGAAGAUGCCUUUUCAUGUGAAGCGCAGUGAAAAUGUGUGCAUUACCGUACGUUUAAACUACACGCAUUACUGAAAAGGAGGGCAGACUAUAAACUUCUAUAAUCACCGAAGUAUGCUUGAAAGCGUCGCCUUAUCUACAUCACUACUGCUAAUUCUCAGGAUAGUUGUCACAUUAAUAAUCUUCCUGCAAAGAUGUUCCUCCUUCAGUAGGAAUAUCACCAGGCAUUGGCUGGACUGAUAACGCCAGCUCCCAGCUCCGACAGAAACCAAUAAUUUUCAUCGCACUUGAGAUGAAGGAUAAACAUGGGUACUUUGGGCCCCACACCUCAGGAAGAACAUACUGGCCCUGGAGUGUGUCCAGCGGAGAUUCACACGGAUGAUCCCUGGAAUGGACAAGGAUUGUCCUGUAGAAGAAUUUAAGAAGUUAACCACAGGAAAACUGUGUCUUCAAACAGACAGAUGAGGCCAAAUGUAACAAGGAACAAAGAAGCUACUUCUGAUAAGGAAGCAGUCUCAGCGACUCCAGAAAGGUCAUCAAUAUUUUGGACAAAAGGACUUUAAAAUAAAUCAUCAAUAAUCCGACAUGUAAACCUGAAGGAUGACAAUCCGUAUAAGAAUCGAAUACCUGAACUCCUCCUUGAGCAGAACUUCGAAGAAUAACAUUGCACAAGGAUCAAACCCUGGACAUAUCCAGAGACAAACACUGUUCGUGGAAUCUGGCCAAAUUCCACCAUUAAUCAGCUAACAGCCAGGAUGGGUUGUGAGGCUUCCGUUGCUUAUUUGAGGGGAAUUUUGGUUGCAACAUGCAGUAAAGCUUAAAUCAUUGUUCCAGUACUUGUUUGUCUGUGAGAUUUCUUAAUAAGUAGCCGAAUUAAAGGUAACUUGGGUUGAUUUAUCCACAACAAUGGGGUGAAGAAAGAGGCCAACUUGUCCCACAAGCCUCAUCUGCCAUCCAAAACACUGAAGGCUCACUACUUUCCUGUCCCGUCUGGCCAGAAAAAGAUUCUGUAUGCCCCUGUCUCGAGUAUCUUUAUGAGCUGAGCCUCCCCUGCACUUUGAGUGAAGAAAUGUCCCCUCACCACAGUCCGAUAUGGCCAACACCUUAUUCUGGGACAGUGUCUGUGUUCUGAACUCUCCAACCCAUGUGCCCACCAGCUAUCCUUUCAUGCCCGCAAAGAAUUUCAGACACUUCAAUGAGAACAUGUAUCAUUCUACAAAACACCGGCAAGAUUUUACAAGAGCAGAUCGGAAGU